UGUGUGCGUGUGUGUGUGUGUGUGUGUGUGUGUCUUCUACAUCUCAUGUCUCUUCACGCGAACAUGAGUUUCCUGUCAGGGGCGAAAACCGAUCAGAUUCGGAGUCAAAAGAGCGCUUUCUUGUUUUUUCUCCGACUGCGGGCUUUCACGUCUAAUUCAUACAGACCCUGACAUGGAAAUCGUUUUCAUUAGAGGCCUGUUCAACUUCUGAGCCAGUCGGAAACGUCUUAAGACGGAGGCUCCACUACCAAGGAACAGUAAAGGACAAUAUCUCUUGUCUUAACUGCCUUCCUUGACUUCCAUCACCCUGCAGAGAGAGACCCGGUUCUGGGAAUUACGCCAGGCUGCUGCGGGCAAUGAAGUUGUGACAGUCGUCUCACGUGAAUGAUAUCAGAAUCGGGGAGGAAAUAAAGUGCGGCACCACGCGGCUUUCUGCCCUUCACACUUAUUAGAAGCCAUCGGAUGUGUGUCACGGGAGGGGGAAGCAUCAGAACUGGGACGACUGGAGCUGUGGUGCCACUGGUGAUGGAGGCAGGUGACGGGAGCUUGCUCCAGGCCAGAUGUACGGAGGAUUUUUUUGUUUUGCUUCAAUUCUCGCCAAAAUAAAACUUAAGCUUACUGUCACAUGUUUAUCAGAGGUAAAGAUUUAUUUUCCAAACGUCUUGUAUUUAAUCCUUUGAUACACAACAUGGGUCAAACGUGACCCGAUGGAGUUUGAAUUGUAAAUAUCUUUGCAAUAAAUUCAUUUCAUCAUUCAGAA